GCUCUGCUGCUCAAUGUUGACAAGGACUUUGCAGUGGUCAGCAUCAAGGCCAACAUCAGCUGAGGUGAACCCGAUGCCUCUGCAAGUGUCGCGUACUAUCUUCUCAUAAUCCACUUUGGCCUUGGUUGUUAUCUCUCCAAAGACCAUGACCAUGUUUGUCUUUGUGCAGGUUUCACAUGCAACCUUGCUCUCUGGAUCUUGUUCUAGGCAAGCGUCAAGAAUGGCAUCUGAGACCUGGUCGCAAAGCUUGUCGGGAUGCCCUUCGUUAACUGAUUCCUCAGGAGUUUCGUCGGUGGCAUAGCCAAACAUGUGUCCUUGGUCACCAGCUCCAAUUUCCUCUGGUUUCUUUGUAAGAUGCCCGUGAACUCCUUGGGCAAUGUCAGGGCUCUGCUGCUCAAUAUUGACAAGGACCUUGCAGUGGUCAGCAUCAAGGCCGACAUCAGGUGAGGUGAAUCCAAUGCCUCUGCAAGUAUCACGUACUAUCUUCUCAUAGUCUACAUUGGCUUUGGUUGUUAUCUCACCAAAGACCAUGACCAUGUUUGUCUUUGUGCAGGUUUCACAUGCAACCUUGCUCUCUGGAUCUUGAGCAAGGCAAGCAUCAAGAAUGGCAUCUGAGACUUGGUCACAGAGCUUGUCGGGAUGGCCUUCAUUGACUGAUUCUGAGGUGAACAAGAAAGUUUCCAUGUCUUCCC
rnacentral:lncRNA from 1 species